GUCCCCGCUGUAAACACUGCGAGCUAUGUGUUGCAUGCUCUUCGUGAACAUGCAGUGCCGGAGCGAAGGCGUUAAGCUCGCCACCUGGGAAGUACGGCCGCAAGACUGAAACUUAAAGGAAUUGGCGGGGGCGCGCUACCAGGGGUGACGCGUGCGGUUUAAUUUAACUCUACCCAGAAAAUCUCACCAGCAGCGACGGCAGAAUGAAGGUCAGAUUGAAGGUCUUACCUAACAAGCCGAGAGAUGUUGCAUGGCCGCCGU
rnacentral:rRNA from 1 species